rnacentral:tRNA from 1 species
GCCCCGGUAGCUCAGUUGGUAGAGCGGCGGCCUCGUAAGCCGCAGGUCCCGGGUUCGAGUCCCGGCCGGGGCUCCA